UCAGACACUCACCAAAUCCCUUCUGCUCUCUACUUCCUGGUACCAGUUGGCAUCACCUGUCAUUUUCUGUGUCAGGCCAGUACCAGGCAUCAAAAAUAAAAAUAAAGCAACUUUAAAAACUAUUCGUCAAUAAUAAAUCUGAC